rnacentral:rRNA from 1 species
GUACACACCGCCCGUCAAGUCAUGGGRRCUGGUAGCGCCCGAAGUCCGCUUAGCUAACCGUAAGGAGGCGGCGGCCGACGGCAAGACCGGUGACUGGGACUAAGUCGUAACAAGGUAGCCGUAGGUGAACCUGCAGAAGGAUCA